rnacentral:tRNA from 1 species
AGUGAGAUGGCAGAGUUAAUGCGAUAGAUUUAAGCUUUAUUUAUAGAAUGAGAGGUUCUUCUUGCUU